UACGGGGGGAGCAAGCGUUGUUCGGAUUUACUGGGCGUAAAGGGCGCGUAGGCGGCGCCGCAAGUCGACUGUGAAAUCUCCGGGCUUAACCCGGAAAGGUCAGCCGAUACUGCGGGGCUAGAGUGCAGAAGGGGCAACUGGAAUUCUCGGUGUAGCGGUGAAAUGCGUAGAUAUCGAGAGGAACACCUGCGGCGAAGGCGGGUUGCUGGGCUGACACUGACGCUGACAGCGCGAAAGCUAGGGGAGCGAACGGG
rnacentral:rRNA from 1 species